rnacentral:rRNA from 1 species
UACGGGGGGGGCAAGCGUUGUUCGGAAUUACUGGGCGUAAAGGGCGCGUAGGCGGCCAGAUUAGUCAGGCGUGAAAGCCCUGGGCUCAACCUGGGGACUGCGCUUGAUACGGUUUGGCUUGAGGACGGAAGAGGCUCGCGGAAUUCCCAGUGUAGAGGUGAAAUUCGUAGAUAUUGGGAAGAACACCGGUGGCGAAGGCGGCGAGCUGGUCCGUACCUGACGCUGAGGCGCGACAGCGUGGGGAGCAAACAGG